rnacentral:rRNA from 1 species
CCCUUAGAUGUUCUGGGCCGCACGCGCGCUACACUGACGGAGGCAGCGAGCAUGUCCUUCGCCGAGAGGUGUGGGGAAUCUUGUGAGUCUCCGUCGUGCUGGGGAUAGAUGGUUGCAAUUGUCGAUCUUGAACGAGGAAUUCCUAGUAAGCGCGAGUCAUCAGCUCGCGCUGAUUACGUCCCUGCCCUUUGUACACGCCGCCCAUCGCUACUACCGAUUGGAUGGUUUAGCGAGAACCUUGGAUUGGAGCCCAGGUGGUCGGCAACGGCCGCUCGGGAUGCCGAGAAAUUGCUCCAGCUGACUCAUCUAGAGGAAGUAAAAGUCGUAACA